rnacentral:rRNA from 1 species
CCUAGCCUUUUAAUUGGAGGCCUGCAUGAAUGGCUUGACGAGCGCCCUGCUGUCUCUCUUCCCAUGAACUUUUAAAUUAACUUUCGCGUGCAAAGGCGCGAAUGGCUGAGUUAGACGAAAAGACCCUAUGCAUCUUUACUGAGAGAGAAGAAAGUUCUUUAGCUUGGUUUAGCUGGGGCAGCUGAGGAAAAGGCAAAAUUUCCUUAAUAUAAAUCAUACUGGUGGGUUUAGAUCCAGGCUCUUUAGCGGGCUUGACAAGUAGAAAAGUUACGCUAGGGAUAACAGCGUUAUCCUUCUGUGGAGGUCUUAUCUGCAGGAGGGAUUGCGACCUCGAUGUUGAAUUAGGGAUAUACCAGAAAGGCGCAGAAGCUUUUAUUGUGGGUCU